AUCUCUCAUGGUUUAUUGCAUAUAAUUUGCAGAUUGUUUCUAUAGUUUACAAAGAUGAAUAGGAGCUGGAAACCUAUAUAGGCUCAGAUCUCUAUGGUACCUACAAUCAAAUAACUUGACGGAGAAUUUCGAGGUUUUUGGACUGAGAAUUUCGGGCUUUUUGCCAUGAUUCCUCUUGGAAAAGGGUCUAAGAGUAAAAGUUGUUCUCCUUGAAGAGCUUAUGCUAGUGGUAUAUUGCUUGUGCCAAUCUGGCCACUCCUCAAGCCACCAAUCGCAACCGAAGGUGAGUGAACUGCUUAGUGGUGCUCCACUUUGCUUUGUAAUUGUCCCUA